CGGCGGACGGGUGAGUAACGCGUGGGUAACCUGCCUUAUACAGGGGGAUAACAGUUGGAAACGGCUGCUAAUACCGCAUAAGCGCACAGUACCGCAUGGUACGGUGUGAAAAACUCCGGUGGUAUGAGAUGGACCCGCGUCUGAUUAGGUAGUUGGUGGGGUAACGGCCUACCAAGCCGACGAUCAGUAGCCGACCUGAGAGGGUGACCGGCCACAUUGGGACUGAGACACGGCCCAA
rnacentral:rRNA from 1 species